ensembl:snoRNA
GGGCUCCUGUGCCUUACAGGCUGUGUCCUUACACUGACUGUACAGAAAGUAGAGGCAGAGGAGACCUCCUCCAUCUGCACCUCCGCCCAGACCUGGUGCCUGGUCUGUAUCAGGCGUGCAGAGACAUGG